ensembl:lncRNA
AGGACAUACCUGGGCCAGUCUUACAGUAUAUCACUAGGUCACAUGAUAGGACAUACCUGGGCCCUUCUUACAGUAUAUCACUAGGUCACAUGAUAGUCUCCUGGCUACAUGAAACCACCAGGAACAACUGGGCCCUGGUUAUGGCUACAACUACAACUAGAGGCUGGAGUUUCUCCCGGGGAAGAAAAGCCUCCCACUAGUUCUGACUAUGAAGUUGAUCCUCCGUGCCACAUUGGCAGUUCAUCUUCAUGUCUAGUUCCUGGCAUAGAGGGGGAAUAUACUACAUCUGAAUGGUACUGGGGCAAGGCACCCUGCCAAUGUCACUCUGAAAGAAGUCUGUGUCCUCCUCUGUCAAAACCCGGGAAUUCUUUCUGCUAUCACAGCAAAGUGGUCAGAU